rnacentral:lncRNA from 1 species
AGAGAAUGUCAGUGGUCAUCAGAAGGCUUUGUUGGCUGUCAGAGGGCUCCACUGAUCAUGAGAGAUCUUCACUGACCAUCAGAGGGCUUCAUUAAUCAACAGAGGGUGUCAUCGGUCAUCAGAGAGGAGAUUUGAGCCCCUCUUGAGCUACUGAAGGCCGCUCUUAGGUCUCCCCGGAUCCUUCUCCAGGCUGCCAAGUUCAAUGCAUACCAAGAAAUGCUUCAUGGAGACAAAACAGUGGAACUAUAAAGACUAGAAUGUCUUUAACCUCAACAGAAUAAUUUUCAAAAGUCAAAUGGGCUCUGUUAUAGAAGCUAGUUACGUGAUAGCAAAUCUGACGGCAGGAAAAUCCAAACCAUUUCCCGAUGGUGACUCUGUUAAGCAGUGUAUGGAAAACACAACAGGCAUAAUGUGUCCUGAUUUAAAACACAAAAACCAGGUGUCUUCUGCAUCUUCUAAGGGUUCGUAAGGAAAGAUGCUGGGUUGACAGUAUUGGCUUCUACAUCAUCCUGCUCUAGUGCAACUGCUACUGUUCUUCCCAAUUUAUUCCUCUCCUUACAAUCCCUGUUUCCGUAUACUCUGCAAGCCCCCUCUAUUAAUUUGCCCAGGUCCCUUAGCUUCCCAGGUACCUCACCCGUUCCUUGAAUCUGUAGAAAAUAAAGCCAUCCUUGCCCUGACUAGCAAAAGACCUUGGGAGGUGUAAACAAGUUCAGCAGACGUGGAGGGACAGAGUUUCCUCUUUCAGAAAAGCUGAAAGAUUGUAACUAUUCAUGUCAGACAGACCCUCUCA